rnacentral:rRNA from 1 species
UACGUAGGGUCCGAGCGUUGUCCGGAAUUACUGGGCGUAAAGCGUGCGCAGGCGGCCCGCGAGGUGUCACGUGAAAGCCCCGGGCUCAACCCGGGAGGGUCGUGGCAAACCGGCGGGCUUGAGGCCGGUAGAGGUGGGUGGAACUCCUGGUGGAGUGGUGAAAUGCGUAGAGAUCAGGAAGAACACCCGUGGCGAAGGCGGCCCACUGGGCCGGUACUGACGCUGAGGCACGAAGGCGUGGGGAGCGAACGGG